UUGUUCUGGGACCAUUGGCAGCUCAGGCCCGGGUGACAGGGGAACGGGCUGGAGUUGAGUAGAUGGAGCCCGGUAACAUUUGCCCAGACCAACCUUGGGUUUGCGGACUCCUCAUUACUGUGGGCAUUGUCCUGUUUCUACUCUUCCUCUUCCUCUUGUGUUGGUGGAACCGCGCGGUCUUUCUGUCUGUUCUCUCCGGUUACGGACCAUUGCGGCAAUCCCUGCGCUGCCAAGUGGAGUGUUACGGUCGAGGGAAUGUCCACACAGAUAUUGUGAGAUUACUGAACAUUUCCGUUUGUGAAAAUCCGGGGCUACCACUUGUUCUCUUUAUCUACAAAGUGUCCCGUGAAACUGUUGAUCUCCGCAACGCUCUGCUGUGGAUUGAAGAGUAUCGAGGAAGAAAGAGAGAAGACAUCUGUGCUGUGAUCCUCCUGGAGAAGUCUUCAGAUACAGACAAGCCGGUGGAAGUUGAUCACCUGGGAACGUUUGAUGAGAAAACUGCAGUUGUGAGAAUUCGGCUGAUCCCUUUUUAUGGAUCACGUGAGAAGCUUCAGAAGGGCCCCAGAACCAACAGAGCGAUGGACAUAAUCAAGCAGAGCAUCCUGGGGUGGCAGAUGGAGUGUUACGGUGAAGGGAAUGUCCACACAGAUAUUGUGAGAUUACUGAACAUUUCCAUUUGUGAAAAGCCGGGGAUCCCACUUGUUCUCUUUAUCUACAAAGUGUCCCAUGAAACUGUUGAUCUCCGCAACGCACUGCAGUGGAUUGAAGACAAACGAGGAAGAAAGAGAGAAGACAUCUGUGCUGUGAUCCUCCUGGAGAAGUCUUCAGACACAGACAAGAAGCCAGUGGAAGUUGAUCACCUGGGAACGUUUGAUGAGAAAACUGCAGUUGUGAGAAUUCGGCUGAUCCCUUUUUAUGGAUCACGUGAGAAGCUUCAGAAGGGCCCCAGAACCAACAGAGCGAUGGACAUAAUCAAACAGAGCAUCCUGGGGUGGCAGAGUGAAUACAGGUUUCAAGUGGAGUGUUACGGUCGGGGGAAUGUCCACACAGAUAUUGUGAGAUUACUGAACAUUUCCAUUUGUGAAAAGCCGGGGGAUACCACUUGUUCUCUUUAUCUACAAAGUGUCCCGUGAAACUGUUGAUCUCCGCAACGCACUGCAGUGGAUUGAAGACAAUCGAGGAAGAAAGAGAGAAGACAUCUGUGCUGUGAUCCUCCUGGAGAAGUCUUCAGAUACAGACAAGAAGCCGGUGGAAGUUGAUCACCUGGGAACGUUUGAUGAGAAAACUGCAGUUGUGAGAAUUCUCUGGGAACAUCGGCAGAUCCAUUUUUAUGGAUCACGUGAGAAGAUUCAGACGGGUCUCAGUAUCAACAGAGCGAUGGACAUAAUCAAGCAGAGCAUCCUGGGGUGGCAGAGCAGUCCUGCAGGAGGAGACGACUGAUACCCUGAUCCAUCACAGUGUGGGGAAUCUGCUGCCCAGACCCAGGCUCAAUGCUGCUGCUACUUCCCACUUCAGUCCCCACCUGCUCCGGACUGAUCGCUGAAGACAACUACUCCAGUCCUGACAGAUUCAGGUCCCAUAAACAAGCUGCAACUUCCAAUGUGUCUGUAUCCCAGUCUGGAACAAUUAUUGAACUGAAUGUGUCUUGUGUUCCCCGCUCUGAACUUUUGUAUUUGCCAAUAAUAGACAAUAAACGUGAUGGUGAACUGCA